GCGCUGGCGGCGUGCCUAAUACAUGCAAGUCGAGCGAACGGACGAGAAGCUUGCUUCUCUGAUGUUAGCGGCGGACGGGUGAGUAACACGUGGAUAACCUACCUAUAAGACUGGGAUAACUUCGGGAAACCGGAGCUAAUACCGGAUAAUAUUUUGAACCGCAUGGUUCAAAAGUGAAAGACGGUCUUGCUGUCACUUAUAGAUGGAUCCGCGCUGCAUUAGCUAGUUGGUAAGGUAACGGCUUACCAAGGCAACGAUGCAUAGCCGACCUGAGAGGGUGAUCGGCCACACUGGAACUGAGACACGGUCCAGACUCCUACGGGAGGCAGCAGUAGGGAAUCUUCCGCAAUGGGCGAAAGCCUGACGGAGCAACGCCGCGUGAGUGAUGAAGGUCUUCGGAUCGUAAAACUCUGUUAUUAGGGAAGAACAUAUGUGUAAGUAACUGUGCACAUCUUGACGGUACCUAAUCAGAAAGCCACGGCUAACUACGUGCCAGCAGCCGCGGUAAUACGUAGGUGGCAAGCGUUAUCCGGUAUUAUUGGGCGUAAAGCGCGCGUAGGCGGUUUUUUAAGUCUGAUGUGAAAGCCCACGGCUCAACCGUGGAGGGUCAUUGGAAACUGGAAAACUUGAGUGCAGAAGAGGAAAGUGGAAUUCCAUGUGUAGCGGUGAAAUGCGCAGAGAUAUGGAGGAACACCAGUGGCGAAGGCGACUUUCUGGUCUGUAACUGACGCUGAUGUGCGAAAGCG
rnacentral:rRNA from 1 species